rnacentral:rRNA from 1 species
GACGUAGGGCGCGAGCGUUGUCCGGAUUUAUUGGGCGUAAAGAGCGUGUAGGCGGCCAGACAAGUCUGCUGUGAAAACUCGAGGCUCAACCUCGAGCUGUCGGUGGAAACUGUCUGGCUAGAGUCCGGAAGAGGAGAGUGGAAUUCCCGGUGUAGAGGUGAAAUUCGUAGAUAUCGGGAGGAACACUGGUGGCGAAGGCGGCGACCUGGGUGGAUACUGACGCUGAGGUGCGAAAGCGUGGGGAGCAAACAGG